rnacentral:rRNA from 1 species
UUCCUUGUCGGGUAAGUUCCGACCUGCACGAAUGGCGUAAUGAUGGCCAGGCUGUCUCCACCCGAGACUCAGUGAAAUUGAACUCGCUGUGAAGAUGCAGUGUACCCGCGGCAAGACGGAAAGACCCCGUGAACCUUUACUAUAGCUUGACACUGAACAUUGAGCCUUGAUGUGUAGGAUAGGUGGGAGGCUUUGAAGCGUGGACGCCAGUCUGCGUGGAGCCGACCUUGAAAUACCACCCUUUAAUGUUUGAUGUUCUAACGUGGACCCGUUACCCGGGUUGCGGACAGUGUCUGGUGGGUAGUUUGACUGGGGCGGUCUCCUCCUAAAGAGUAACGGAGGAGCACGAAGGUUGGCUAAUCCUGGUCGGACAUCAGGAGGUUAGUGCAAUGGCAUAAGCCAGCUUGACUGCGAGCGUGACGGCGCGAGCAGGUGCGAAAGCAGGUCAUAGUGAUCCGGUGGUUCUGAAUGGAAGGGCCAUCGCUCAACGGAUAAAAGGUACUCCGGGGAUAACAGGCUGAUACCGCCCAAGAGUUCAUAUCGACGGCGGUGUUUGGCACCUCGAUGUCGGCUCAUCACAUCCUGGGGCUGAAGUAGGUCCCAAGGGUAUGGCUGUUCGCCAUUUAAAGUGGUACGCGAGCUGGGUUUAGAACGUCGUGAGACAGUUCGGUCCCUAUCUGCCGUGGGCGCUGGAGAACUGAGGGGGGCUGCUCCUAGUACGAGAGGACCGGAGUGGACGCAUCACUGGUGUUCGGGUUGUCAUGCCAAUGGCACUGCCCGGUAGCUAAAUGCGGAAGAGAUAAGUGCUGAAAGCAUCUAAGCACGAAACUUGCCCCGA